rnacentral:rRNA from 1 species
CAGCCGCGCGGGAAUACGUAUGUCCCGAGCGUUAUCCGGAUUUAUUGGGCGUAAAGCGAGCGCAGACGGUUUAUUAAGUCUGAUGUGAAAGCCCGGAGCUCAACUCCGGAAUGGCAUUGGAAACUGGUUAACUUGAGUGCAGUAGAGGUAAGUGGAACUCCAUGUGUAGCGGUGGAAUGCGUAGAUAUAUGGAAGAACACCAGUGGCGAAGGCGGCUUACUGGACUGCAACUGACGUUGAGGCUCGAAAGUGUGGGUAGCAAACAGGAUUAGAUACCCCUGUAGUCCCUGUCUCUUAUACA